rnacentral:sRNA from 1 species
UCGUAAAUGUAUAUUGACAACUACUGCUU